AGCGAACGCUGGCGGCAGGCCUAACACAUGCAAGUCGAGCGCCCAGCAAUGGGAGCGGCAGACGGGAGAGUAACACGUGGGAACGUGCCUUUUGGUUCGGAAUAACUCAGGGAAACCUGAGCUAAUACCGGAUAAGCCCUUACGGGGAAAGAUUUAUUGCCAAAAGAGCGGCCCGCGUCCGAUUAGCUAGUUGGUGAGGUAAUGGCUCACCAAGGCGACGAUCGGUAGCUGGUCUGAGAGGAUGACCAGCCUCAUUGGGACUGAGACACGGCCCAAAACUCCUACGGGAGGCAGCAGUGGGGAAUAUUGGACAAUGGGCGCAAGCCUGAUCCAGCCAUGCCGCGUGAGUGAUGAAGGCCUUAGGGUUGUAAAG
rnacentral:rRNA from 1 species